rnacentral:rRNA from 1 species
AGUGAACGCUGGCGGCAGGCCUAACACAUGCAAGUCGAGCGGAAGAACAGUAAGAGCUCGUUGUUACGGCGGCGGACGGGCGGGCGGGGGCGGGAAACCUGGGUAUCAACGUGUUAUAAGGGGCGAAAACGGGCGCUAAUACGCCAUACGUCCAUAGGACGAAAGGGGGAGAGCAUGGGACCUCAGGCUAUCAGAUGAGCCGAUGUCGGAUUAGCUAGUUGGCGGGGUAAAGGCCUACCAAGGCGACGAUCCGUAACUGGUCUGAGAGGAUGAUCAGCCACACUGGAACUGAGACACGGUCCAGACUCCUACGGGAGGCAGCAGUGGGGAAUAUUGGACAAUGGGCGCAAGCCUGAUCCAGCCAUGCCGCGUGUGUGAAGAAGGUCUUCGGAUUGUAAAGCCCUUUUGUUUGGAAAGAAAAGCAGCAAGUUAAUACCCCGCUGUUUUGACGUUACCCAAAGAAUAAGCACCGGCUAACUUCGUG